GAUGAACGCUAGCGGCAGGCCUAAUACAUGCAAGUCGAACGGUGUAGCAAUACACAGUGGCGCACGGGUGCGUAACACGUAUGCAACCUACCUUACAUUGGGGGAUAGCCUUUCGAAAGGGAGAUUAAUACCGCAUAAGACAGUAACUGGGCAUCCAGUAGCUGUUAAAGAUUUAUCGAUGUAAGCUGGGCAUGCGUCCAAUUAGUUAGUUGGGAAGGUAAUGGCUCACCAAGACGAUGAUUGGUAGGGGAACUGAGAGGUCAAUCCCCCACACUGGCACUGAGAUACGGGCCAGACUCCUACGGGAGGCAGCAGUAGGGAAUAUUGGGCAAUGGGCGCAAGCCUGACCCAGCCAUGCCGCGUGCAGGAAGAAGGCGUUAUGCGUUGUAAACUGCUUUUAUACAGGAAGAAACGACCCUUGCGAGGGGCAUUGACGGUACUGUAUGAAUAAGCACCGGCUAACUCCGUGCCAGCCGCCGCCGUAACAC
rnacentral:rRNA from 1 species